CAGGGAGACAACAAAAUGUUUAAUAUUAUUAUUUUGUCACCUUAGGUCGAUCGGUAUCUCACGUUUUUAAUUUAUUAAGAAUUUCAAUUCCUAAGUUUUUCUAGGUCACACCCAUUAUUUUUCCUGGGCCAUUAGCUCAGGUGGUUAGAGCGCACCCCUGAUAAGGGUGAGGUCCCUGGUUCAAGUCCAGGAUGGCCCAUAUCUCUAUGUGGGGGUAUAGCUCAGUUGGUAGAGCGCCUGCUUUGCAAGCAGGAUGUCAGCGGUUCGAGUCCGCUUACCUCCACUGAUUACCACCUCUUCCAUAACCGGUAGAAAGGAAAUGUUUUGAGUUGUGAUCAAAUUCUGGAAGAAUCUAGCUUCCUAAUGAAAUCAUUAAGAUGCUGGACUCAUUGAAUUAAUUUCAUUGUUUUCAGAGAACCUUGACAACUGCAUAGAUUAUUUUUAAAGACAAUAAGCAUCUUUAAUGAUGCAGAUUUAUUAUUUGUGCGAAUGCAUUAAUAACAAUUCUAUUAAGCUGAUGCUUCAAUUUUUGAAGUUAUU
rnacentral:tRNA from 1 species